AAGCGAGUGAAUAAGAAACCUGUUGAGCGCUGAACAGUGCAACAAAAGCCCUGGCAGCAGAUUGUUAGUGCGCGUGAUACGGCCACGCGAAUAUAAUAUAAUCCAUACUAUACUGCACGCAGACUAGAUCUAAACAGAGAUGGAGAUCAUAGCAGAGAAAUGCGGGAUCGGCUGAUUUUCCUCAUUGUCGGGUUGAUGUUCAUAUCGUAUCGAACACGACUCACUAUAUCAAAGUUCCGGUAGCUGUUAAUGAAAACAUUAUAGUAUAAGGUUAUAGAAACAGCGCGGUGAUAAUAUGAAAAUAUGACGGUAUUCGAAGAUAAACGAUAUACGAGUAGAAAACGUCAAUCGAUCGAUGGCUAUGGAUUUUCUACUACCAUCUACGUCUACCCAGCAGAUGAUGACGUGUAUGUUGCAACCGUCGGAAUCUGUAGGGGCUAAUAAUACAAUCAUAAUGAUUGGUACAAUCAUAGAUGGCAACAGAUGAGUCGUACCACUAACAUCACACCAGACAGUGUUCUUAGAAAUUUAAUGCAUUAUACAGAAUAUAGACGAAUGCUCUAGCCUAACAUUUCGUAAGACUAGUCCCAGGUAUAUCAGACGCGGUUUCAAUAGCUUGUGAAGGACGAUGACGAGCACUUUUGGCUGCCUCAGGUUUGGCAGACCGAAUAGACGUCCUGUGAGCCAUCGACAUUACCAGAUAACAGACAAAUAAGUGUGCUGGAUAUGUGCACUUCUAUCCUGUAGAUUAGCUGUAUUGAGAUUCGACUGUUCACACACAUUUUGUAAGGAUGUCACUGCUUGUACAUGUUUAAGACUUCUAAAUCCUGUUAUGAACGUCACAAAUGCGAUUUUAUCAUCAACCCCGAAACGUAUACUUUCGAAAGUCAACGAGACCUAUCAUAGUGACAAAGAACAGUUAUAUUCUUAUAUUUCUGCAUAAAUAUUAAAGACCAUAAUGUACUCAUCAUUAUGAUAAUAAUCAUUGAUCAUACAUCAUCGUGGGAAGUUGCAAGGUAUACUCAAUCGACGCGGACAAAAAUAAAAUUGAGCUGAUUGUUUUAAAGUUCGAUGUUGUGAAGUUAUACUACUUUACUUGACCACGUUCUUUCAAAUCGCAAUACUAUCAGCACCGCGGGUAUCGUACUUGACACUUGUUGCAUUUAAAACAGGAUUUACGGUUCUGGAACAUUUAUUGAAACACGACUUCCAUCACAAAGUCUUUGCUUUGUCGAGCGACAACACAGCAGCGUUGUGGUUUGAACAAAAAAUGUAUAUCCAGGGCAUCACCUUGUCAGUUAUUUGGUAUAGUCAUUGAUUCACAAGGCGCAUAUUUGGUCUGAUAAAUCUUGGGCAGCCAGGGGAGUUUGUCGACACAUAAAUAACUGCAAAAGCGUCUGCCUUUUCUGGAACAAGCCGUGCGGAAAGUUUGGUCUGAGCAUCGUCUUUAUUGUGUAAUGAAAUUUCUUAAAACAUUGGCUGGUGAGGUGCUUAGUGGUACAUGUCACCUUGUCUCAUCGGCGAUUAGGAACGAUUGUUGUAGUACAUAUCUUUUUUAUCUUUUCGUAUCAUCGAAUAUUGUAAAUAUUUAUAUUAUUUAUCGCCGUUUCUAUGCUGUAUUUGUAUGAUAUCGUAGUUUUCUAUUCGAACUUAAUUAAAAUAAAAAUAAUAUUAAAUUUAA